AAUGGCGACCGGCGCACGGGUGAGUAACGCGUAUGCAACUUACCUAUCAGAGGGGGAUAGCCCGGCGAAAGUCGGAUUAAUACCCCAUAAAACAGGGGUCCCGCAUGGGAAUAUUUGUUAAAGAUUCAUCGCUGAUAGAUAGGCAUGCGUUCCAUUAGGCAGUUGGCGGGGUAACGGCCCACCAAACCGACGAUGGAUAGGGGUUCUGAGAGGAAGGUCCCCCACAUUGGUACUGAGACACGGACCAA
rnacentral:rRNA from 1 species